GCUGACUCUUUUCAGACUCAGUCCGCCUACACCCAGGUGAAAUAAACAGCCAUGUUGCUCACACAAAGCCUGUUUGGUGGUCUUUUCACACGGACGCGCAUGAAAUUUGGUGCCGUGACUCCGAUUGGGGGAUCUCCCUUGGGAGAUCAAUCCCCUGUCCUCCUGUUCUUUGCUCUGUGAGAAAGAUCCACCUACCACCUCAGGUCCUCAGACCGACCAGCACAAGAAACAUCUCACCAAUUUCAAAUCCGCCACUCCCAGAGCUCCUGGAACUCUGGCCCAAGGCUCUCUGACUGACUCCUUCUUGGCUUACCGGCUGAAGACUGACGCUGCCUGAUCACCUCAGAAGCCCCGUAGACCAUCACGGAUGCCGAGCUUUAGGUAACUCACAGUGGAGGGUAAGUCCAUCCCCUUCUUAAUCAAUAUGGAGGCUACCCACUCCACAUUACCUUCUUUUCAAGGGUCUGUUUCCCUUGCCUCCAUAACUGUUGUGGGUAUUGACGGCCAGGCUUCUAAACCUCUUAAAACUCCCCCACUCUCGUGCCAACUUAGACAAUACUCUUUUAUGCACUCUUUUUUAGUUAUCUCCACCUGCCCAGUUCCCUUAUUAGGCCGAGAUAUUUUAACCAAAUUAUCUGCUUCCCUGACUCUUCCUAGACUACAGCCACAUCUCAUUGCCGCCCUUCUCCCCAACCCAAAGCCUCCUUCGAGUCUUCCUCUCAUAUCCCGCCACCUUAACCCACAAGUAUAGGACAUCUCUACUCCUUCCCUGGCAACCGAUCACAUGCCCAUUACCAUUCCAUUAAAACCUAAUCACCCUUACCCCGCUCAACGGCAAUAUCCCAUCCCACAGCACACUUUGAAAGGAUUAAAGCCUGUUAACACUCGCCUGCUACAGCAUGGCCUUUUAAACCCUAUAAACUCUCCUUACCAUUCCCCCAUUUUACUUGUCUUAAAACCAGACAAGGCUUACAAGUUAGUUCAGAAUCUGCGCCUUAUCAACCAAAUUGUUUUGCCUAUCCACCCCGUGGUGCCAACCCAUAUACUCUCCUAUCCUCAAUAGCUCCCUCUACUACCCAUUAUUCUGUUCUAAUCUCAAACAUGCUUUCUUUACUAUUCCUUUGCACCCUUCAUCCCAGCCUCUCUUUGCUUUCACUUAGACUGACCCUGACACCGAUUAGGCCCAGCAAAUUACCUGGGCUGUACUGCCACGAGGCUUCACAAACAGCCCCCAUUACUUCAGUGAAGCCCAAAUUUCAUCCUCAUCUGUUACCUAUCUCGGCAUAAUUCUCAUAAAAACACACGUGCUUUCCCUGCUGAUCAUGUCCGAUUAAUCUCCCAAACCUCAAUCCCUUACAAAACAACAACUCCUUUCCUUCCUAGGCAUGGUUAGUGCGGUCAGAAUUCUUACACAAGAGCCAGGACCACACCCUGUAGCCUUUCUGUCCAAACAACUUGACCUUACUGUUUUAGCCUAGCCCUCAUGUCUGCGUGCAGAGGCUGCCGCUGCUUUAAUACUUUUGGAGGCCCUAAAAAUCACAAACUAUGCUCAACUCACUCUCUACAUGUCUCAUAACUUCCAAAAUCUAUUUUCUUCCUCAUACCUGACGCAUAUACUUUCUGCUCCCCAGCUCCUUCAGCUGUACUCACUCUUUGUUAAGUCCCACAAUUACCAUUGUUCCUGGCCCGGACUUCAAUCUGGCUGCCCACAUUAUUCCUGAUACCACACCUGACCCCCAUGACUGUAUCUCUCUGAUCCACCUGAUAUUCACCCCAUUUCCCCAUAUUUCCUUCUUUCCUGUUCCUCACCCUGAUCACGCUUGAUUUAUUGAUGGCAGUUCCACCAGGCCUAAUCACCACAUACCAGCAAAGGCAGGCUAUGCUAUAGUAUAAGCCACUAGCCCGCCUCUCAGAACCUCUCAUUUCCUUUCCAUCGUGGAAAUCUAUCCUCAAGGAAAUAACUUCUCAGUGUUCCAUCUGCUAUUCUACUACUCCUCGGGGAUUAUUCAGGCCCCCUCCCUUCCCUACACAUCAAGCUCCAGGAUUUGCCCCCACCCAGGACUGGCAAAUUAGCUUUACUCAACAUGCCCAAGUCAGGAAACUAAAAUACCUCUUAGUCUAAAUAGACACUUUCACUGAAUAAGUAAAGGCCUUUCCUACAGGGUGUGAGAAGGCCACCGUAGUCAUUUCUUCCCUUCUGUCAGACAUAAUUCCUCAGUUUAGCCUUCCCACCUCUAUACAGUCUGAUAACAGACCAGCCUUUAUUAGUCAAAUCAGCCAAGCAGUUUUUCAGGCUCUUAGUAUUCAGUGAAACCUUUAUAUCCCUUACGGUCCUCCCUCUUCAAGAAAAGUAGAACGGACUAAAGGUCUUUUAAAAACACACCUCACCAAGCUCAGCCACCAACUUAAAAAGGACUGGACAAUACUUUUACCGCUUCUGCUUCUCAGAAUUCAGGCCUGUCCUCAGAAUGCUACAAGGUACAGCCCAUUUAAGCUCCUGUAUAGAUGCUCCUUUUUAUUAGGCCCCAGUCUCAUUCCAGACACCGGACCAACUUAGACUGUGCCCCCAAAAAACUUGUCAUCCCUACUAUUUUCUGUCUAGUCAUACUCCUAUUCUCCAUUCUCAACUACUCAUACAUGCCCUGCUCUUGUUUACACUGCCGGUUUACACUGCUUCUCCAAGCCAUCACAGCUGAUAUCUCCUGGUGCUAUCCCCAAACUGCCACUCUUAACUCUUGAAGUAAAUAAAUAAUCUCCGCUGGCAGGAAUAUGCUGAAUCUCCUCAGGCACUCUCUAAUCAGAUAUCCUGAGUCGUCCCAAUUCUUAGACCUUUUAUACCUGUUUUUCUCCUUCUUAUUCCAUUUAGUUUUUCAUUUCAUACAAAACCGUAUCCAGGCCAUCACCAAUCAUUCUAUACAACAAAUGUUUCUUAUAACAACCCCACAAUAUCACCCCUUACCACGAGAUCUCCUUUCAGCUUAAUCUCUCCCACUCUAGGUUCCCACGCCGCCCCUAAUCCCGCUUGAAGCAGCCCUGAGAAACACCGCCCAUUCUCUCUCCAUACCACCCCCUAAAAAUUUUCGCCGCCCCAACACUUGCAACACUAUUUUGUUUUAUUUUUCUUAUUAAUAUAAGAAGGCAGGAAUGUCAGGUCUCUGAGCCCAAGCCAAGCCAUCGCAUCCCCUGUGACUUGCACGUAUAUACGCCCAGAUGGCCUGAAGUAACUGAAGAAUCACAAAAGAAGUGAAAAGGCCCUGCCCCAUCUUAACUGAUGACACUCCACCAUUGUGAUUUGUUCCUGCCCCACCUUAACUGAGUGAUUAACCCUGUGAAUUUCCUUCUCCUGGCUCAGAAGCUCCCCCACUGAGCACCUUGUGACCCCCCACCCCUGCCCACCAGAGAACAACCCCCUUUGACUGUAAUUUUCCAUUACCUUCCCAAAUCCUAUAAAAUGGCCCCACCCCUAUCUCCCUUUGCUGACUCUCUUUUCGGACUCAGUCCGCCUGCACCCAGGUGAAAUAAACAGCCAUGUUGCUCACACAAAGCCUGUUUGGUGGUCUCUUCACACGCAUGAAAGUGCAAAUGUAAUUUACAUUUGUAUUUGAACAAGCUGAUUAGCUUGAUUAGCCUGAUAGAAAUAGAAGUUGUCAAUAUUUUAUUAGUAACUUAUAAUUUAUAGAAUUAUAUAAUUUAUAGGUAUAUAAUACAAUUAGAGCAAUAUCUAUUAUUUUUAUAGUUUGUGUAUUGCUCUGAUUCACCCCAUACACACAAUUAGAGUAACCAACCUAAAUAAUUUUGUGAUGAAGCCAAUGAUAAAUACAAUGUAAAUUUCCUCAAAAUAAUAGGCAAUCUCGCUAUUCCCAAUCACCAAAAGGAUUUUUUAAAUGUUGCACAUUAGAAGACCUACUUUAAAAGUCAAUCUAAAUGCCUUAUAACAGGAAAAACUUCUUUCAUAAUUUUUUGAUAAAUUUUGCAAAUUUAAAAAUGUUACAGUAUUUUAUUGUAAAUUUGGUACAUUUUGGUAUACCUUAUUGAAAAUUAUUUGGGAAUGUUCACUUAAACCAUUCAACAAAUGAACCACCACAAAAUGUCAGACUUUGAAGCUUUCAGCAAACAGGAAUUACUGAAAACAAAGCUUUCAAAGGGAAAGAUAUUGAAGUUUAUCCCAAAAAAGAGAGAAGCUGAACUUGUUUUUAAUGAGAAUUCAAAUAAUAUACAAGAUUUACCUUUAAUUUUCAAUCAUUUUACUUUUGAUAUUUUACUUUGUAAGAAAGUUA
rnacentral:lncRNA from 1 species